AAAGUACUCCCUCCGUCCCAUAUUAAGUGGCUCAAAUUUGUCCAAAUAAGGAUGUAUCUAUACCUAAAAAGCAUGUAGAUACAUGUAAUAUUUCUACACUUAAUAUGGGACGGAGGGAAUACAUU
rfam:Brachypodium distachyon strain Bd21 chromosome 4, whole genome shotgun sequence.